rnacentral:siRNA from 1 species
AUACUGUUCAACUGCGGAUAA